UAAAUGCUCCAUGCCUGUAACAUU
rnacentral:misc_RNA from 1 species